ACACACACACACACACACAUACGAGAUUUUGUGUGUGUGUGUGUGUGUGUGU
rnacentral:miRNA from 1 species